rnacentral:rRNA from 1 species
UAGGGAAUCUUCGGCAAUGGACGAAAGUCUGACCGAGCAACGCCGCGUGAGUGAAGAAGGUUUUCGGAUCGUAAAACUCUGUUGUUAGAGAAGAACAAGGACGUUAGUAACUGAACGUCCCCUGACGGUAUCUAACCAGAAAUCCACGGCUAACUACGUGCCAGCAGCCGCGGUAAUACGUUGGUUGCAAGCUUUGUCCGGUCUUAUUUGGAGUAAAGCGAGCGCAGGGGGUUUCUUAAGUCUGAUGUGAAAGCCCCCGGCUCAAACGGGGAGGGUAAUUGGAAACUGGGAGAAUUGAGUGCAGAAGAGGAGAGUGGAAUUCCAUGUGUAGCGGUGAAAUGCGUAGAUAUAUGGAGGAAAAACAGUGGAGAAGGCGGCUAUCUGGUCAGUAACUGACGCUGAGGCACGAAAGCGUGGGGAGCAAACAGG